AAAUUGAAGAGUUUGAUCAUGGCUCAGAUUGAACGCUGGCGGCAGGCCUAACACAUGCAAGUCGAACGGUAACAGGAAGCAGCUUGCUGCUUUGCUGACGAGUGGCGGACGGGUGAGUAAUGUCUGGGAAACUGCCUGAUGGAGGGGGAUAACUACUGGAAACGGUGGCUAAUACCGCAUAACGUCGCAAGACCAAAGAGGGGGACCUUCGGGCCUCUUGCCAUCAGAUGUGCCCAGAUGGGAUUAGCUUGUUGGUGAGGUAACGGCUCACCAAGGCGACGAUCCCUAGCUGGUCUGAGAGGAUGACCAGCCACACUGGAACUGAGACACGGUCCAGACUCCUACGGGAGGCAGCAGUGGGGAAUAUUGCACAAUGGGCGCAAGCCUGAUGCAGCCAUGCCGCGUGUAUGAAGAAGGCCUUCGGGUUGUAAAGUACUUUCAGCGGGGAGGAAGGUGUUGUGGUUAAUAACCACAGCAAUUGACGUUACCCGCAGAAGAAGCACCGGCUAACUCCGUGCCAGCAGCCGCGGUAAUACGGAGGGUGCAAGCGUUAAUCGGAAUUACUGGGCGUAAAGCGCACGCAGGCGGUCUGUCAAGUCGGAUGUGAAAUCCCCGGGCUCAACCUGGGAACUGCAUUCGAAACUGGCAGGCUUGAGUCUUGUAGAGGGGGGUAGAAUUCCAGGUGUAGCGGUGAAAUGCGUAGAGAUCUGGAGGAAUACCGGUGGCGAAGGCGGCCCCCUGGACAAAGACUGACGCUCAGGUGCGAAAGCGUGGGGAGCAAACAGGAUUAGAUACCCUGGUAGUCCACGCCGUAAACGAUGUCUACUUGGAGGUUGUGCCCUUGAGGCGUGGCUUCCGGAGCUAACGCGUUAAGUAGACCGCCUGGGGAGUACGGCCGCAAGGUUAAAACUCAAAUGAAUUGACGGGGGCCCGCACAAGCGGUGGAGCAUGUGGUUUAAUGCGAUGCAACGCGAAGAACCUUACCUGGUCUUGACAUCCACGGAACUUUCCAGAGAUGGAUUGGUGCCUUCGGGAACCGUGAGACAGGUGCUGCAUGGCUGUCGUCAGCUCGUGUUGUGAAAUGUUGGGUUAAGUCCCGCAACGAGCGCAACCCUUAUCCUUUGUUGCCAGCGGUCCGGCCGGGAACUCAAAGGAGACUGCCAGUGAUAAACUGGAGGAAGGUGGGGAUGACGUCAAGUCAUCAUGGCCCUUACGACCAGGGCUACACACGUGCUACAAUGGCGCAUACAAAGAGAAGCGACCUCGCGAGAGCAAGCGGACCUCAUAAAGUGCGUCGUAGUCCGGAUUGGAGUCUGCAACUCGACUCCAUGAAGUCGGAAUCGCUAGUAAUCGUGGAUCAGAAUGCCACGGUGAAUACGUUCCCGGGCCUUGUACACACCGCCCGUCACACCAUGGGAGUGGGUUGCAAAAGAAGUAGGUAGCUUAACCUUCGGGAGGGCGCUUACCACUUUGUGAUUCAUGACUGGGGUGAAGUCGUAACAAGGUAACCGUAGGGGAACCUGCGGUUGGAUCACCUCCUUACCUUAAAGAA
rnacentral:rRNA from 1 species